GAUGAACGCUGGCGGCGUGCCUAACACAUGCAAGUCGAGCGAUUCUCUUCGGAGAAGAGCGGCGGACGGGUGAGUAACGCGUGGGUAACCUGCCCUGUACACACGGAUAACAUACCGAAAGGUAUGCUAAUACGAGAUAAUAUACUUUUAUCGCAUGGUAGAAGUAUCAAAGCUUUUGCGGUACAGGAUGGACCCGCGUCUGAUUAGCUAGUUGGUAAGGUAACGGCUUACCAAGGCGACGAUCAGUAGCCGACCUGAGAGGGUGAUCGGCCACAUUGGAACUGAGACACGGUCCAAACUCCUACGGGAGGCAGCAGUGGAGAAUAUUGCACAAUGGGCGAAAGCCUGAUGCAGCAACGCCGCGUGAGCGAUGAAGGCCUUCGGGUCGUAAAGCUCUGUCCUCAAGGAAGAUAAUGACGGUACUUGAGGAGGAAGCCCCGGCUAACUACGUGCCAGCAGCCGCGGUAAUACGUAGGGGGCUAGCGUUAUCCGGAAUUACUGGGCGUAAAGGGUGCGUAGGUGGUUUCUUAAGUCAGAGGUGAAAGGCUACGGCUCAACCGUAGUAAGCCUUUGAAACUGGGAAACUUGAGUGCAGGAGAGGAGAGCGGAAUUCCUAGUGUAGCGGUGAAAUGCGUAGAUAUUAGGAGGAACACCAGUUGCGAAGGCGGCUCUCUGGACUGUAACUGACACUGAGGCACGAAAGCGUGGGAGCAAACAGGAUUAGAUACCCUGGUAGUCCACGCCGUAAACGAUGAGUACUAGCUGUCGGAGGUUACCCCCUUCGGUGGCGCAGCUAACGCAUUAAGUACUCCGCCUGGGAAGUACGCUCGCAAGAGUGAAACUCAAAGGAAUUGACGGGGACCCGCACAAGUAGCGGAGCAUGUGGUUUAAUUCGAAGCAACGCGAAGAACCUUACCUAAGCUUGACAUCCUUUUGACCGAUGCCUAAUCGUAUCUUUCCCUUCGGGGACAGAAGUGACAGGUGGUGCAUGGUUGUCGUCAGCUCGUGUCGUGAGAUGUUGGGUUAAGUCCCGCAACGAGCGCAACCCUUGCCUUUAGUUGCCAGCAUUAAGUUGGGCACUCUAGAGGGACUGCCAGGGAUAACCUGGAGGAAGGUGGGGAUGACGUCAAAUCAUCAUGCCCCUUAUGCUUAGGGCUACACACGUGCUACGAAUGGGUGGUACAGAGGGCGGCCGAGUUCGUGAGGCGGAGCUAAUUCCCUUAAAGCCGUUUCUCGGUUUCGGAUUGUAGGCUGAAA
rnacentral:rRNA from 1 species